rnacentral:lncRNA from 1 species
GGAAAAUGUUUUGAAAUUCUUUUUUUUUUAAUUAAAAGGGUAUUAAAACUGUAAAGUUUAUAUAAAGGUUCAAUUUUCUGUUUUAAAAAAAAUCAAACAAAUCUGUUAGUUUUGUUUAUAAAAAGAAAAAUAUUAACACUGAUAAGUCUUAUGUGGACGAAACGCGCGUCUGGCGUACUAAAUUAUCAUCUUGGUACCUUUGAUAACCUUUUAACACGACCCCCAGUAAAAUUUGAUAACAAAAAAAUCAAAAGCAUUAAACAUUUCACAUUAAAAUUUGAAAAAAGACAUCCUUAUUUAAAAAUUUGAAAAAAAGACAUCCCAAGUUAAAAAUUUGAAAAAAAGUAAAGCAUCGAACGUUAACAUUUGACAAAUAAAUCCAUCUCAUAAAAUUUCAUAAAAACGGUAGAAUAAUUAUAAUAAUUUUUUUUAAUAAAAACAGUGAAACAUCCCUCUUUCUCUAGAAUUGUUAAAAGCAAUACAAUAUCCCCUGUUAAAAUUAACAAAUCAUCGACAAUAAAAAUUUGAUAA